GCCGCGGUGGCGGAACUUGGCAGACGCGCUGGCUUGAGGGGCCAGUGGGUUUUACAGACCCGUGCGGGUUCAAAUCCCGCCCGCGGCACCA
rnacentral:tRNA from 1 species